rnacentral:rRNA from 1 species
ACGGGUGAGUAACGCGUGGGUAACCUACCCUGUACACACGGAUAACAUACCGAAAGGUAUGCUAAUACGGGAUAAUAUAUUUGAGAGGCAUCUCUUAAAUAUCAAAGGUGAGCCAGUACAGGAUGGACCCGCGUCUGAUUAGCUAGUUGGUAAGGUAACGGCUUACCAAGGCAACGAUCAGUAGCCGACCUGAGAGGGUGAUCGGCCACAUUGGAACUGAGACACGGUCCAAACUCCUACGGGAGGCAGCAGUGGGGAAUAUUGCACAAUGGGCGAAAGCCUGAUGCAGCAACGCCGCGUGGGUGAUGAAGGCCUUCGGGUCGUAAAACUCUGUCCUCAAGGAAGAUAAUGACGGUACUUGAGGAGGAAGCCCCGGCUAACUACGUGCCAGCAGCCGCGGUAAUACGUAGGGGGCUAGCGUUAUCCGGAUUUACUGGGCGUAAAGGGUGCGUAGGCGGUCUUUCAAGUCAGGAGUGAAAGGCUACGGCUCAACCGUAGUAAGCUCUUGAAACUGGGAGACUUGAGUGCAGGAGAGGAGAGUGGAAUUCCUAGUGUAGCGGUGAAAUGCGUAGAUAUUAGGAGGAACACCAGUUGCGAAGGCGGCUCUCUGGACUGUAACUGACGCUGAGGCACGAAAGCGUGGGGAGCAAACAGGAUUAGAUACCCUGGUAGUCCACGCUGUAAA